rnacentral:rRNA from 1 species
AUACGUAGGGAGCGAGCGUUGUCCGGAUUUACUGGGUGUAAAGGGUGCGUAGGCGGGUUUGCAAGUCAGACGUGAAAUACCGGGGCUUAACUCCGGGGCUGCGUUUGAAACUGUAGAUCUUGAGUGAAGUAGAGGCAAGCGGAAUUCCUAGUGUAGCGGUGAAAUGCGUGAAUAUUAGGAGGAACACCAGUGGCGAAGGCGGCUUUCUGGGUUUUAACUGACGCUGAGGCACGAAAGCGGGGGGAGCAAACAGGAUUAGAUGCCCUGGUAGUCCACGCCGUAAACGAUGAUUGCUAGGUGUGGGGGGACUGACCCCCUCCGUGCCGGAGUAAACACAAUAAGCAAUCCACCUGGGGAGUACGACCGCAAGGUUGAAACUUAAAGGAAUUGACGGGG